UUCUUGAGAUUCUAAGUCCCACAAACAUUUACUGGGGCAGGCGGACCUUGUAGUCUUGUGAGACUAUGGACAGAUGAGGACUGUCCAUGGUUAGACAUGAUUAGUGAACAAUCCUAUACUGGGAAAACACAUGCUUAAAUGGGACAAUACUGAAGUAUUAUUUGCUGCAUUCUGGACUUCUUCCCUUAAUCUGCAUUUUUUUCUGGGCAAAAAGCCAGAAUGGCCCAAGGCAAAGGUUUUAAAUAGUUCCCAGGAAGCCACAUUCAGACUGCAAAGGCAUCCUACUGAAGGGGCCAUGGUGUUCAGAAAGGUAGAUGUCCUCUGGGUCUUGCCCUGACCCCAAGCACAAGGUCUUUCCCCUUCUGGAGUCCCUGCCGGGUCUCUGCUCAGACGUGGUCUGCCCUGCAGCUGUUGGGCUGGGAGCUGGAGGGCAGGCAGGCAAUGGGUGGAAAUCAGGGGAACGUUUCUCUUCAAAAACUGCUGUUUGAAGGCAGAAACCAGCUGUGCACCUUUCCUAAGGAUUCAGGAUGAGGAUGUUGGGAUUUGAGAAGAUAGAAAGAUCUAAGUCAAAAGCCAUUUGAAUAAGGUAGAAAUAUCUUUCUCCUGAAAGGAGGCUAAACAUAGAGACAUACCCCAAAGACAUGAGAAAAUGAGAGUCUUUAUACUUGGUGAAAACAAGAAAUGAAAGAUGAUGGAAAGAUGCAUGCAAAUUAUCUUCCAGCUUGCUCUUUUGAAGAUGCUCGUCUAAAAAUAAGAUCACGUGGAGGAGAAAUGACAUGUCUGGUGCUGAAAACAACCCUACUGGGACCAGGAGAUGUGGAGCAAAAUGUAUUCAGAAAGAGACUUUGCUCUGGAAACCAUUGCUCACUGCCCUGCUGCCAAGGUCACAGAGAGCUGGAGCUUUGCUGCUGCAAAGCUGUUUACAUACAAGGAUACACAGGAACGAAAGGUCAUGGGAGGUACUUGAGCCUGGAGUCUCCAAAGUCAAAAGACAAUAAACACACCAACUUUCAGGGCUUUUAACAAGCACAAUCGGGCCAAACAAAUUCUCACUUUGGAUGUAGAUCCACAACAUCUUGCAGCAGACGGAAAUAGGACUGGGGCAAGAGUUGGUACAAACAGAAAUACUAAGUUUAUCACGACCAAAAUAGGCAAUGGAGGGUAAAAGCCCGCAACCUACUUCAAAUAUAUCUGAACUGGUGUUAAAACUAAGCUAGCAUUGAAGAGAGGGAUAAAAUUCAGGAGCAAGUUUCCAAAGAGACUCAUAAGAACCCAGAGAGAGGAAAAUCUUUUUCAGAAAAUUCAUAAAAGUUAAUGAGUCGCCAUUCUGAUGUAACGGAGAGAACUUCAGUAAUAUGACCAGUGAUGGAGUUGGUGUGAAAUGCAUAGACUCCACUAUGACCUGACCGGGUAUUUCCUCAGCAAAUAUUUGGGUAUAUUUAAUUGAAAUGCAUUUGUGGCAAAAGUCAACUCCUACAAAAAAAUUGUUAAAAUAUUCUUCCUGGAAGUUGUCUCCCAAAGUGACUCACAUCAAGUAGUCUGAAUAAAUAUGGUGAGACUUGGCACCCUCUGAGGCAUCAUUUGCUAGGAAGAAAAUGCUUUUGAAUAUCCUAGAACUCUUGGAAAACUUACAGAACCAUUGGCCUCAUGCAAGCCCAUUGUCCCUGUCCAACACACCCCCACAUCCCCUUUCCCUCACCAUCAGGCACGAAAGUCCUUCCUAAGUCGCAAAUGCAAAUCUAACUGACUGGCUUCCUUCUUACAGACCAACCACAGCUACUUGUCUUUGAAAUUCAACUUCAAGGAAGACAGAAAAGUCUAUUUUUAAUCAGAGAAAAACCUCAAAUUGAGUGCGAAUUACUGCCUAGGCCCUGUUGAAUGCACACUAGAAUCACUUUUGAGAUGAUCACUAAUUUUAUGGAGUGAUAUACACCAGAAUGAACUUCUAGCCUGCUUUAUAAUCAAUCAGUUAAUCAACAAGUCUGAGUGGAGCGUGUAUGCUUUGCGUUAUCUGCAGUGCGGCCUGAGGUUACGGGAGAAAAAAAUGGCACUGUGUAUUGCUUGAAUGCUCAGGGCUGCGUUCAACUAAUUUUAACCAUUGAAUCAAAAUGAUCAGGUAGAGGGCAGGAAAUGUAGAAUGGCUUGAACAACUACCUCAUGAAAACAUGCAGUAUGCGUUUGUAAUUCAGCAUCUUAAAAUGUCUCUUUUGGCAGUAUUUCUUUACAAAUGUGGCAAAGCAUGAUAUCUUUGAGUAAAUUUUUAAACUUCACAAAAGUUUCUGAAAAAAAUAUGUACAAUCAAAGAAAAACACUUGGAAAUAAAUUCUGUCUAUAGUUUAUGCAC
rnacentral:lncRNA from 10 species